rnacentral:rRNA from 1 species
UACGCUGGCGGCACGCCUAACACAUGCAAGUCGAACGAAGUAGCAAUACUUAGUGGCAGACGGGUGAGUAACAUGUAGGUAUCUACCCUUUGGCCUGGAAUAACACGAGGAAACUUGUGCUAAUACCGGAUAAGUCUUUACGGAGAAAGCUUUAUGCACCAUUGGAUGAGCCUGCACUUGAUUAGUUUGUUGGUGGGGUAAUGGCCUACCAAGACUGUGAUCAAUAGCUGAUUUGAGAGGAUGAUCAGCCACAUUGGGACUGAGACACGGCCCAAACUCCUACGGGAGGCAGCAGUGGGGAAUCUUGCACAAUGGAGGAAACUCUGAUGCAGCGAUGCCGCGUGAGUGAAGAAGGCCUUUGGGUUGUAAAGCUCUUUCGUCGGGGAAGAAAAUGACUGUACCCGAAUAAGAAGGUCCGGCUAACU